rnacentral:lncRNA from 1 species
UCAGGUUCUCUCUGAUGAUCUGAACUUAUGUUUCAGCUUCCUGGAUAAUCUCUGGCCCAAAUAAUUGACUCUCUCCUAUCUCACUCCAAUAAGGGGGGUUCUGCACUUCCUUCCAUAUAGCGCAUCAAAUGGUGCCAUCUUGAGACUAGCUUGGAAGUUGUUGUUAUAGGAUAACUCACUAUAGGGCAAACUCUUAUCCCAACUACCUUCAUGUUUUAGAGUGCAG